GUCUACAGCCAUGCCAUCCUGAAUGAGCCUGAUCUCGGAAGUUAAACAGGGUCGGGCCUGGUUAGUACUUGAAUGGGAGACCACCUAGGAAUACUGAGAGCUGUAGGCA
rnacentral:rRNA from 1 species